GGAGGUAUUUAACAUUAUUUUCAUCACGUUGAUGAUUGAUUGGAUGUAUUUAACAUUACUUUUAGCACGUUGAUGAUUGAUUGUUGGCGUUUAACGAUACUUUCAGCAUGUUGUUGAUUGAUUGAUGGUAUUUAACAUUACAUUCAGCACGUUGAUGAUUGGUUGUUGGUGUUUAACGCUACUUUCAGCACAAUUUGGGUAUAGGCCAGAGUUUUUUGGAGGUGAUAGUCGGAGUUUCAGCGACCUUUAUAAUUAGAACUGACAAUCCUUCUAAAUUAAGAUUUGAGUCGAACUUUUUGGUGACCUUCUGCUGUUGUUUAUUUCUAUGGUCGGGUUGUUGUCUAUUUGACACAUUCCCCAUUUCCAUUCUCAAUUUUAUUAUUGAAAUACAGUUGCAUCGCAAAUAAUAACUGUGAGAGAAAUUUUCGUUCAGAAAUAUACGCCAACAACCAAUCAUCAACGUGCUGAAUGUGAUGUUAAAUACCACCAAUCAAUCAUCAACAUGCUGAAAGUAUCGUUAAACGACAACAACCAAUGUUACUUAUGUUACUUAACUGUGUAGAUUGUGAACAUUCAAAUGAAAAGAAAGAAUGAUAGUUCGUAAUCUCCAUGCCCUGUG
rnacentral:lncRNA from 1 species